GUCUCUUCGAAUACAUCCAAUAAAAUUGGAACAAUACAGAGAAGAUUAGUAUAGCCCUUGCACAAGGAUAACAACAUUAGAAAACAUGGAUUGCUCGUUCAC
rnacentral:snRNA from 1 species